UGGGGAAUUUUGCGCAAUGGGCGAAAGCCUGACGCAGCUACGCCGCGUGUACGAUGAAGGCCUUUGGGUCGUAAAGUACUGUCAACGGGGACGAACGCCUCAGAUUGAAUAGGCCUGAGGUCUGACGGUACCCGUGGGGGAAGCACCGGCUAACUCUGUGCCAGCAGCCGCGGUAAUACAGAGGGUGCAAACGUUGCACGGAAUGACUGGGCGUAAAGCGCGCGCAGGUGGCCCGUUAAGUUGGCUGUGAAAUCCCCUGGCUCAACCAGGGAAGUGCAGUCGAUACUGGCGGGCUCGAGUCCCGGAGAGGGUGGUAGAAUUCCCAGUGUAGAGGUGAAAUUCGUAGAUUUUAGGAAGAACACCAGUGGCGAAGGCGGCUCACUGGCCCGGUACUGACGCUGAGGCGCGAAAGCGUGGGGAGCAAACAGGAUUAGAUAC
rnacentral:rRNA from 1 species